rnacentral:tRNA from 1 species
UGGGCGUUCGUCAAGAGGUAAAGACCACAGGCUUUGACCCUGUUAUCACUGGUUCGAAUCCAGUACGCCCAACCA